CUUGGUCAUUUAGAGGAAGUAAAAGUCGUAACAAGGUUCCGUAGGUGAACUGCGGAAGGAUCAUUACUGAGGGGGCUCGCCCCGUCAAGAUACCACCCUUGCAUUUCGAGCACUUUCUGUUUCCUCGGCGGGCUCGCCCGCCAAUGGGGACCACAACAAACCCACUUGUAGUUGCAGUAAACGUCCAAAAACAAAUAAAAUCAAAACUUUCAACAACGGAUCUCUUGGUUCUGGCAUCGAUGAAGAACGCAGCGAAAUGCGAUAAGUAGUGUGAAUUGCAGAAUUCAGUGAAUCAUCGAAUCUUUGAACGCACAUUGCGCCCUUUGGUAUUCCUUAGGGCAUGCCUGUUCGAGCGUCAUCUAAAAGCCUCAAGCCCAGCCGGCUUGGUGUUGGGCGUUUGUCCCGCCUCGGGCGCGGACUCGCCUCAAAAGCAUUGGCGGCCCGUGUAGUUGGCUUCGAGCGCAGCAGACUCGCGCCUCGCGAACGACUGGCACGGGCGUCCAUCAAGACGCACCCCCAAGUUUGACCUCGGAUCAGGUAGGGAUACCCGCUGAACUUAAGCAUAUCAAUAAGCGGAGGAAAAGAAACCAACAGGGAUUGCCCUAGUAACGGCGAGUGAAGCGGCAAGAGCUCAAAUUUGAAAUCUGGCUCUUUCAGGGUCCGAGUUGUAAUUUGUAGAGGGCGCUUUGGCGUCGGCCGCGGCCUAAGUUCCUUGGAACAGGACGUCACAGAGGGUGAGAACCCCGUACGUGGCCGCCGGCCUUCGCCGUGUAAAGCCCCUUCGACGAGUCGAGUUGUUUGGGAAUGCAGCUCAAAAUGGGUGGUAAAUUUCAUCUAAAGCUAAAUAUUGGCCAGAGACCGAUAGCGCACAAGUAGAGUGAUCGAAAGAUGAAAAGAAU
rnacentral:rRNA from 1 species